rnacentral:rRNA from 1 species
UGGGGAAUAUUGGACAAUGGGCGAAAGCCUGAUCCAGCCAUGCCGCGUGUGUGAAGAAGGUCUUCGGAUUGUAAAGCACUUUAAGGUGGGAGGAAGGGCAGUAAGCGAAUACCUUGCUGUUUUGACGUUACCGACAGAAUAAGCACCGGCUAACUCUGUGCCAGCAGCCGCGGUAGUACAGAGGGUGCAAGCGUUAAUCGGAAUUACUGGGCGUAAAGCGCGCGUAGGUGGUUCGUUAAGUUGAAUGUGAAAGCCCCGGGCUCAACCUGGGAACUGCAUCCAAAACUGGCGAGCUAGAGUAGGGCAGAGGGUGGUGGAAUUUCCUGUGUAGCGGUGAAAUGCGUAGAUAUAGGAAGGAACACCAGUGGCGAAGGCGACCACCUGGGCUCAUACUGACACUGAGGUGCGAAAGCGUGGGGAGCAAACAGG